rnacentral:rRNA from 1 species
AACCAGCACCUCAAGUGGUCAGGAUGAUUAUUGGGCCUAAAGCAUCCGUAGCCUGUUCUGUAAGUUUUCGGUUAAAUCUAUGCGCUCAACGUAUAGGCUGCCGAAAAUACUGCAGAACUAAAAAGUGGGAGAAGUAAACGGUACUCGGUAGGAAAAAAUAAAAUCCUUUGAUCUAUUGAUGACCACCUGUGGCGAAGGCGGUCUACCAGAACACGUUCGACGGUGAGGGAUGAAAGCUGGAAAAGCAAACCGG